GUCUAUAUGAAAAUAUAUAUAGUCUGGCCUGCCCACUGGUAUAAGAUCUAAAGGGCCGCAGUAUUUUGACUGUGCAAAGGUAGCAUAAUCAUUAGUCUUUUAAUUGAAGACUUGUAUGAAUGGUUGGACGAGAAAUAAACUGUUUCUUUUAUAAAUUUUGAAUUUAACUUUUAAGUGAAAAGGCUUAAAUAGUUUAGAGGGACGAUAAGACCCUAUAAAUCUUAAUAUUUUAUUAUUAGAUAUAUUAUUAGUAAUGUUUAUGUAUAUUUAAUAAAAUAGUAUUUUACUGGGGCGGUAUAAAUAAAAUUAGUAACUGUUUAAUAUAAAUUCAGAUAUACCUGACAUUUAAUAGAUCCUUAUAUAAAGAUCAAAAGGUUAAGUUACUUUAGGGAUAACAGCGUUAUUUCUUUUAAGAGUUCAUAUCUAAAAAGAAGUUUGCGACCUCGAUGUUGAAUUAAAAUUUCUUUGUGGUUGCAGCAGCUACAAAAGAAAGUCUGUUCGACUUUUAAAAUUUUACAUGAUUUGAGUUCAGACCGGCGUGAG
rnacentral:rRNA from 1 species